rnacentral:tRNA from 1 species
CGGGGGGUAGCGCAGUCUGGCUAGCGCGCAACGUUCGGGACGUUGAGGUCAUGGGUUCGAGUCCCAUCCUCCCGA